rnacentral:rRNA from 1 species
UGGUGGAGUGAUUUGUCUGCCUAAUCGCGAUAACGAACGAGACCUUAACCUGCUAAAUAGCCAGGCCCGCUUUUGCGGGUCGCCGGCUUCUUAGAGGGACUAUCGGCUCAAGCCGAUGGAAGUUUGAGGCAAUAACA